rnacentral:lncRNA from 10 species
UUCUCUUUGAGGGUGGGGACAAGAGGUGGGAGCUGGAGCCCUGGAGUGCCUGGCUUCACAAUUUAGGAAAGAGGGUCUCCAAGUCAUCUGAGGUUUGGAGUGCAGUCUCCUCUCUCCUGAAGCUGGGAGCUGGAAGAGAUCUACAUAUUAAGGUUUUUUAGUUUCUCCGAGAAAUGAUGUGUAAAUGUAUGCAAGGUGAUGCCAGUCAGAAUUAAUUAUCCUUGAAUCAACAACCUGGUGCCAAUGAAAAAAUGCUUUGUAGUCUGGGAUAGGAGGCAGGUUUACCCUAGCCAUAGCUGAGACUGGAAGAGUAGAGUUGCCCCAUUUCCAGUCAACUAACUCUGCAAAACACUGAAGAGAAUUCUAAGAAAAGGAGCAAAACUGUGACAGAGUAGGACUUUCACAUGCUCUGAGCAGUGAAGAGGUCUCUCACAUAUCCUGGAGUUCUUUAAAUGGAGGCAAUCACCCCUACGUCUCUUCCCAAACCACUGCAGUCUCCUCUGACCCCACCUCAUCUGACUCAUCAUCUGGGAAACAAGGGGAGCCCAGCAGGGCCAGGGGAGUACAAAGCUGUAGUUGCCCCUCCGGAUCGCCUUGUUCCUCAGCUAGCACCCCUGAAAGCCAAUCAGGCACUCUAUAAGGGCAGGCAGGAGUGAGGGUGGGAGGGGCAGUGUCCCUCAAGGAUUGGGGGACCUCAAUAGUGUCAAUAGGGUCCUGCUAGGCUGGGAGGGAAUGGUGAAUCCCCCAAAGGGCGGUCUGGAAGGCACAUGUGGAGAAGAGGGGCAUUUUUAGACAAAAGCAAGAGGAGUGCAUUCUUAGGGCAGGAAUCUUGCCAGGCUGGGCCUGCUCAAGGGAAAGCGGAUCUCACAGGUGGAUGGGAGGGGUCAGGUGCAGGGGAAGGAGCUAGGGCAGGGACACAUGGAAAUACAAUGGGCAGGGGGAGAAAGGUUGGCAAGAAAGGAGAGACACCUUGGGUGAGGGGAGAAGGGGAGCCCCCCACAAGAGGUGAACAGAAGGGAGGUACUUCAGGCAAAGAGUAAAGGAGGGAGGGGCAAGUAAGGGAAGGGCCCUAGAGGGCUGGAGGAAG